UCUACCUGAACGUGGAGUCCGUCUGCACACACCGGGAGAGGUCAGAGACAUGAAAGGCUCCCGGAGCAGCGCUGACUCCUCCAGGAAACACUGAGGCAGACGUGUCGGUUCCAUUCCAUUUCCAUUUCUGCAGCUUAGCUUGUGUCCUGCCCUCCGCCCGAGGCAAAACGUAUCCUGAGGACUUCUUCCGGAGAGGGUGGGGUGGAGCAGCGGGGGAGCCUUGGCCGAAGAGAACCAUGCUU
rnacentral:lncRNA from 1 species